rnacentral:lncRNA from 1 species
UGUUGCUCCUGUUAAUGUGUAUUCAGUCCCUCGUUACUCUAUCAUCACCGUACACCAAUGAUUGGUGAGAUCCAGUGAGAUAAGUGGAUUUGAAAUCUGUUCAACAGUUUUUCUAAUCUGGACAAUGCCAAGGGGGUCAGCAGAAGCAAGGAGAAGCACUUUACUUCAGCUAGUCUGCGGGUGAAGUGGAAAGGAAAGAAGAGCCAGCAGCAAAACAAAAGAAUUGGGUGUACACUGAAGAUACUCACUGAGAUGGCAAAGACAGAGGGCCUAAAGUAAGAGAAGGGAACAAGAAGAUAUGCCUUUGUAAUAGGAAGACCCUCUUUAUUGACCAGACCAACUAUACUAAACUGAACUGAAUGAAACUUUUGGUUUAAAAGAUAAUUCCGAGUUGCAGGAAAAAUAUUUUUUAUGUUCUUAAAUGGUUCUGAGUAGAGCCCAAAGACUGCAUCCAAAAUAGGGAGCAAAUCAAGAUAGUGGAAAUAAAUG